ACCUCUCCGUCGAAUUUUAUUGACAGCUGACUUGACCAAUCAGCGAGUCGCUCUGACAGUAUGCGCACGCAUACUUUGACUGCAGUCACUUCCUUAGACAAACAAGCUUGUCUAAGUUUGGCUGGCGCGCUUUACGCAAUCGUUCUAUCGGCCAACUUAUCCAGAAAAAAUGGUAAAGAGGUGCAGUCACGGUCUGUGCAAUAGUGAUGACAGGUACCCUGAACGACUAGGAGGCGGUGUCAAGUUCAUACCGUUUCCAAAACCGAAGACUGACUACGAGAAGUGCCUACGGUGGAUAAAACUUUGUGGACGACCGCAUAAUCAGCUCAAUCCGUCAAACAUCAACUGCAAUAGAUAUGUUUGCACAAAGGUACAUUUCCCGUACAUUUAAUCAAUUUUAUAGAUGGAUACGUCAUUAAGUUUUGUUUGGCAGCGAUCAGUUUUCCUAUUACCAUUGGCCAAGUAGUGAAUAUAAAUUACCUGGGUUGGUAAUCGUCGAACAUAUAUAUAUGUAUAUAUACAUAUAGAUCUAUGUAUAUAAAGAUUUCACAAACUUAUUGAAAACUUUUGAAUUCAUUGUGUUUAUAUACAUUAUACAUCGGUUUAUCCACAUAAUAGAGGUUAUUGUGUUAAAUUUGAUUUUCAGCACUUCGUCAACAAUUUUCCAUGUGAGCAACAUCCAGACCCAUUACCUGCCAAUCACUUUGACAAGGCUGGACUGAGUAGGAAGCCCCCUACAAAAAGAAAGCCCACCCAUGAUGGAACUCAGAGGUUUGUGUACACUAUUGGAGCCAACAGAAAAGAUAGCUAAAUCUGACAACCCAUCUUUACC
rnacentral:misc_RNA from 1 species